AAAAAAAGUAAGUGGGCUUUUGGGUUGGAGGAGUCCAAACCAGGCCCCGACCCAGGCCCAAGCCAAAGCUAGACCACCAGAAAAGUUUCCGGAGGAGAGAGAGAGUUUCUUUCCUUCCAAUCCUCUCCCUUUUCAAGUAUUCAAAUUUAAUUCCAUCUUCGCAAAUUUACUCCUUUGUAUAUAUAUACGUAUCUUCUUCUCCUCUAUGAGGAAACUCACAUACUCACUACGCCAAAACUACGUAGGAUUUUUCUAGGGUUUCACUUUCACCUGAUGAUUUUUUCUUUUCUGGCAAUUGGGUUUUGAAUUGACUCCAUGAGGAAGAAGCUCGACACUCGUUUCCCGGCGGCUAGGAUUAAAAAGAUUAUGCAAGCUGAUGAGGAUGUGGGGAAGAUUGCCAUGGCUGUGCCUCUUCUUGUCUCUAAAGCUUUGGAGCUAUUUUUGCAAGAUCUAUGUGACCGGACAUAUGCAAUAACUCUGAAAAGGGGGGCCAAGACCUUGAAUUCAUUGCAUUUGAAGCAGUGUGUACACACAUUUAAUAUCUUUGAUUUUCUGAGGGAAAUUGUUGGCAAGGUUCCUGAUCUAGGAGGUUCUGAUUCUGCUGGGGAUGAUCAUAGUGUUGCUAAAAGAAGGAAAGUUAUUGAUGAUGAAGACAAUGAUUGUGAUGAGGAUUUAAGUAGGAGCAAAAUGGUAAGCUUUGGUGUUUUCCAUUGAAAUUGAAAAGGAGAAAAUAUUAUUUUAGUUGGAUGACUGCUUUAUCUGUUACAUUUUAGGAGUGGUAAUAUUGUAUGUAAUCAGGUGUUCUAUUUCACGUUAUCUUCUGUUUUAUAAUCUAUAUGUGUGUCAGUUCAUCCAUAAUAGCAUUAAACCUUGGUACCGGAAUUACUUUGGCAGCAUGAGACUGCUCACACAAGUGGCAGUGGCAGAGGAAGGGGUAGGGGCAGAGGCAGAGGCAGAGGCAGAGGUCGUGGACGAGGUAGUAGAGCUGUAGAGAGGGAGACAGUUGCACAGUGUGGGAAAUUUGAAGAUGAUGCAGAUAUUAGUCAUCAUGAUGACAAUCACAGUCCAACGAUUGAAAGGCUAGAUAAUGUUGAUGAACCUGAAGCCUUGAAGGAGAAUAUCCUAGCAGCAGGUAAAAGUAUGCAAGCCCCAGUUAAUGACUUUGAUCUGAAUGUGGGCUUGGAUGAGAAUGGGGAGUCUAAAACAGUGUUAACUUCUGCCCCCACAAGCUUGACAGCAAAACCUACUCCUGUAACGAAGCAUGAAGAAUUACCUGGCUGGUCACUUGCAGACAUAGAAAAGAUGGAUAUCAAUCCCAUUCAUCUAGCCAACAUAGAUAGAAGCAUAGUCGAGGACAUGGAAGAUUAUGAUGAAGAAGGCUGAAACCAACAGGUCUACCAUGUUUUACGCAGUUGGUUACACCCCAUAGGUUUUUAGUCCUGUUAUUAUGUAGAUGUAGAUCCACAGGUAGGAUUGUCAAGGCUGAUGCUGAUAAUUACUGUAGAAGUGGUAGGACUGAAACAAUUAAUUUAGAUUAGACUGAAAAUGGAAGUUUCAUUUGGCAUUUCCAGAAGCUUGUAAUAUAUUAUUUUUGUAGCAUGAGCUGAUAAUAGUUACAAACGUUAUUGGCUUUGCCAGAUUGCCAGGCAUAAGGAGAUUAAUCAUUCUUGUACCUCCAGGAAGUACAUGUGUAUUGAAGGGUGAGGCAUCUCAAGGAUUUAGCUUCCUUUAAAUUCAAGUAUAUACAAUUUUUCAAAUGUAUUGUUCUGCAUUUGAAUAUAUUCUUUUAGUUGAAGAUUUUAUUCUAAAUUUGC
rnacentral:misc_RNA from 1 species